rnacentral:rRNA from 1 species
GUCCAGAGAGGGACCUUUCGGUUCGGCCGGACGCCGCACAGGUGCUGCAUGGGCUGUCGUCAGCUCGUGUCGUGAGAUGUUGGGUUAAGUCCCGCAACGAGCGCAACCCCCAUCUUCAGUUGCCAUCAGGUAAAGCUGGGCACUCUGGAGAAACCGCCGGUGACAAGCCGGAGGAAGGCGGGGAUGACGUCAAGUCCUCAUGGCCCUUAUGGGCUGGGCUACACACGUGCUACAAUGGUGGUGACAGUGGGCAGCGAGAUCGCGAGAUCGAGCCAAUCUCCAAAAGCCAUCUCAGUUCGGAUCGCACUCUGCAACUCGGGUGCGUGAAGUUGGAAUC